rnacentral:rRNA from 1 species
CCUACGGGAGGCAGCAGUGGGGAAUAUUGCGCAAUGGGCGAAAGCCUGACGCAGCGACGCCGCGUGAGGGAUGAAGGUCUUCGGAUCGUAAACCUCUGUCAGCAGGGAAGAACGGUCACUGUGCUAAUCAGCAGUGAAUUGACGGUACCUGCAAAGGAAGCACCGGCUAACUCCGUGCCAGCAGCCGCGGUAAUACGGAGGGUGCGAGCGUUAAUCGGAAUUACUGGGCGUAAAGCGCUCGUAGACGGUAUGUCAAGUCAAGGGUGAAAUCCCCGCGCUCAACGUGGAAAUUGCCUUUGAAACUGGCAAACUGGAGUGUGUGAGAGGAUAGUGGAAUUCGUGGUGUAGGAGUGAAAUGCGUAGAUAUCAGGAGGAACAUCAGUGGCGAAGGCGACUAUCUGGCACAUCACUGACGCUGAGGAGCGAAAGCGUGGGUAGCAAACAGGAUUAGAUACCCCAGUAGUC